AUCUCAGAAAGAGGUUUGCAUGUCUGCAGGGCUGCAAAGGUCUUGCCAAAAUGGAAUGUUCUCCAUCUUAGUGAAGAGGAUGUUCUCAGAGCUAUUCAGCUUUGUCUUGGAGAAAAGGCAAAACAGGAAUGUGGCGAGUUCUGCGUCCAGGCCAGCGACGU